rnacentral:lncRNA from 1 species
CCUGGAAUCAAAUGUAUUCGUAUGAAAUUAUUCCCACGUUCUACAUGGUUAAAGGUGGCACGGUAGUAUUUCCUGGCCCAUAGGGAUAAUGAUAGCCUUUUUAGAAUUUUCAACACUUUCUAACACUGCAAAAAAUUCUACAUUCACAGUUAACUGAAGUACUUUCAUUUUACUAUUCAGAAAUGAAUUUGAAUAUGUAUCAUGACCGUUUACUUUUUUUGCUAUUUUUGAAAACCUAAGGCCACUAGUACUUUUAGGUCUUUUAUGGUGCAGUGAAUAAAAAAUUUUAAAAAAUUCUCAAAAAUUCAUUUUCAUCUGUAUGUAAAAUUAUUUCAUAUUUUUCUACACCUGAUUCAUCCCUCAGUUUGGGAAAGUAUGUUCAGUUGAUACUGUAUAUUUUGUCCAAUCACACUGUUUAGAUACAUUAACCUAAGUAGGGUACACAAAAGAGCAACCUAAAUUCUGGAAUGCAAAUACUACCGUGCCACCUUAAGGAUGUACACCUCUGAGGAGCCAAAAAUUUCUAGAAUUAAACUUUUUUUCUUAACCUGAUUUUUAGGUUUAUAAGACUGUAACAAAACAAUUGGUGAAGAAAAAAUCAUAUGGUGGUGUGCUUCUUUUUUUGCUACGGCCCUUUGAAAAUGCCCAAUUUUGAUGAUUUUCUCACUUUUCAUCGAUUUUUACCUAUUUUUGGGCUAUUAUCGUGAAAAAAAUCACAGUUCCACAAUUAAACUUUAUUUCAUACUUUCCAUAAAGAUGAAG